AUUGAACGCUGGCGGCAUGCCUUACACAUGCAAGUCGAACGGCAGCACGGGUGCUUGCCCCUGGUGGCGAGUGGCGAACGGGUGAGUAAUACAUCGGAACAUGUCCUGUAGUGGGGGAUAGCCCGGCGAAAGCCGGAUUAAUACCGCAUACGAUCUACGGAUGAAAGCGGGGGACCUUCGGGCCUCGCGCUUUAGGGUUGGCCGAUGGCUGAUUAGCUAGUUGGUGGGGUAAAGGCCUACCAAGGCGACGAUCAGUAGCUGGUCUGAGAGGACGAUCAGCCACACUGGGACUGAGACACGGUCCAGACUCCUACGGGAGGCAGCAGUGGGGAAUUUUGGACAAUGGGCGAAAGCCUGAUCCAGCAAUGCCGCGUGUGUGAAGAAGGCCUUCGGGUUGUAAAGCACUUUUGUCCGGAAAGAAAUCCUUGGCCCUAAUACGGUCGGGGGAUGACGGUACCGGAAGAAUAAGCACCGGCUAACUACGUG
rnacentral:rRNA from 1 species